GAUGAACGCUGGCGGCGUGCCUAAUACAUGCAAGUCGAGCGAACAGACGAGGAGCUUGCUCCUCUGACGUUAGCGGCGGACGGGUGAGUAACACGUGGAUAACCUACCUAUAAGACUGGGAUAACUUCGGGAAACCGGAGCUAAUACCGGAUAAUAUAUUGAACCGCAUGGUUCAAUAGUGAAAGACGGUUUUGCUGUCACUUAUAGAUGGAUCCGCGCCGCAUUAGCUAGUUGGUAAGGUAACGGCUUACCAAGGCAACGAUGCGUAGCCGACCUGAGAGGGUGAUCGGCCACACUGCAACUGACACACGUUCCAGACUCCUACGGGAGGCAGCAGUAGGGAAUCUUCCGCAAUGGGCGAAAGCCUGACGGAGCAACGCCGCGUGAGUGAUGAAGGUCUUCGGAUCGUAAAACUCUGUUAUUAGGGAAGAACAAAUGUGUAAGUAACUAUGCACGUCUUGACGGUACCUAAUCAGAAAGCCACGGCUAACUACGU
rnacentral:rRNA from 1 species